UAAGACGUAGGGGGCCAGCGUUGCUCGGAAUUACUGGGCGUAAAGGGUUCGUAGGCGGUGCGGCAAGUCGGAAGUGAAAUCUCCAGGCUUAACUUGGAGGCUGCUCCCGAAACUGCCGUGCUAGAGUGCGGGAGAGGCGAGUGGAAUUGCAGGUGUAGCGGUGAAAUGCGUAGAUAUCUGCAGGAACACCCGUGGCGAAGGCGGCUCGCUGGACCGCAACUGACGCUGAGGAACGAAAGCUAGGGGAGCAAACAGGAUUAGAUACCCUGGUAGUCCUAGCCCUAAACCAUCAGGACUUGGGGUGCAUCCCGUCGGGGUGCGUCCCGUAGCUAACGCGUUAAGUCCUGCGCCUGGGGAGUACGGUCGCAAGGCUG
rnacentral:rRNA from 1 species